UACGAAGGGGGCUAGCGUUGUUCGGAAUUACUGGGCGUAAAGCGCGCGCAGGCGGCUAUCCAAGUCAGUGGUGAAAGCCCGGAGCUCAACUCCGGAACUGCCAUUGAAACUGUUUAGCUUGAGGACGAGAGAGGUGAGUGGAAUUCCCAGUGUAGAGGUGAAAUUCGUAGAUAUUGGGAAGAACACCGGUGGCGAAGGCGGCUCACUGGCUCGUUUCUGACGCUGAGGCGCGAAAGCGUGGGGAGCAAACGGG
rnacentral:rRNA from 1 species